rnacentral:tRNA from 1 species
GAAAGCAUAGCUCAGUGGUAGAGCACUUGUCUAGCAUGCUUAAGGACCUGGGUUUAAUUCCCAGUUUAUAUA